AUUUUAAUUUUGUUUCAUUUGACUAUUUUCUUUAAACGUCUUAUUUAUUCUUCCUUUCUUAUUUUUUUUCCUAAACUUAACAUAAACCACUGCUAUUGUUUUUUUUCUGCUUUGGUUCAUCCAGAAAAUGAUUCUAAAAUUCAAUAAUGGCAUAUAGCCAAAUUUGUUAGGGAUAAUAUCGGCAUGCCUUAAAAUUGUAUAUACUAAUGCUUAUACGGUUGCUUUUACUGUUCGUUAUGCUGGUGUCUCAAUCGCCGCCUCUAUCUUCUCUUCGUCUACUAAAGAUCAUAAAUAUCAGGUUCAUACAAUUUUUUUGCCUUUUGAGUAUGUUUAUGUGAACGGGAUACCUCUUUUCCACGAAGAGCUCCAGACUUGUCCAAGUCCACCAAAGAAGCUGAACCCGAAAACUAUUGGCCAAGAUUCUAUAUAAACCUGCCCUUUUCACGGAGGACGAGCAGGAAAAUAUUAAAUUAACCAUCCAGAGCAAUGUGUAUGGUUUUCUUGGUAUACUCCUUGAAGGACGUGACCAGAUUGAAGAAAAAAGUUUGGCCGUAACAUAGAGAAAGAUCAAUCUUCCAAUGAAAAUGACCCAAGUGGUUAGUCUCGAAGAACAUCGGAGGAAAAAUGCAAUACAUUUCAGAUCUUGAUCUUUCUCAUGAAGAGCCUUCAAUGCUUGAAUAUCAUGAAGCAAGGCAACAUAAGAACCGAGAGGCAAUACAAGGUUGUGUGGCUACCGGUGGUGGGACCGAUCAACAACAUGAAAUUAUAUAAAACAGAGCCAAUUUGAUGCUCUCCAGUCAUUGAUGCAUCUUUACAAAAUAAGUAAUUAUUAAGACUUGAUGUGAACUACUAAAAAUUUACUUGUCUUCUAGUCCUACUUUAUUAGAAACAAGAGAUUUUUUCUAUGAUGGUGCACUAAUCACAUUCAAUUUUGGUCAUUUUGUUUAAAUUACAAAUAAAACAUUUGUAUUUUUCUUA